AUUGAACGCUGGCGGCAUGCCUAACACAUGCAAGUCGAACGGCAGCAUGGUCUAGCUUGCUAGACUGAUGGCGAGUGGCGAACGGGUGAGUAACGCGUAGGAACAUACCUUAAAGAGUGGGACAACCUGGGGAAACUCAGGCUAAUACCGCAUAAUCUCUGAGGAGAAAAGCUGGGGAUCUUCGGACCUGGCGCUUUAAGAUUGGCCUGCGUACGAUUAGCUAGUUGGUAGGGUAAAGGCCUACCAAGGCGACGAUCGUUAGCUGGUCUGAGAGGAUGGUCAGCCACACUGGGACUGAGACACAGCCCAG
rnacentral:rRNA from 1 species